rfam:Loa loa cont3.8861, whole genome shotgun sequence.
UUCUUUGGUUAUCUAGCUGUAUGAGUAUUUCAUAGUUCGUCAUAAAGCUAGACGACCGGAGUA